rnacentral:rRNA from 1 species
UACGUAGGGGGCAAGCGUUGUCCGGAAUCAUUGGGCGUAAAGAGCGCGUAGGCGGUCCGGUAAGUCCGCUGUGAAAGUCAAGGGCUCAACCCUUGAAUGCCGGUGGAUACUGUCGGGCUAGAGUCCGGAAGAGGCGAGUGGAAUUCCUGGUGUAGCGGUGAAAUGCGCAGAUAUCAGGAGGGACACCAAUGGCGAAGGCAGCUCGCUGGGACGGUACUGACGCUGAGGCGCGAAAGCGUGGGGAGCAAACAGG